GGAUGUGAGGGUGAUCUGGCUGCGACAUCUGUCACCCCACUGAUUGCCAGAGUUGAUUCGGCUGAUCUGGCUGGCUAGGAGGGUGUCCCCUUCCUCCCUCACCGCUCCAUGUGCGUCCCUCCUGAAGCUGCGCGCUCAGUUGAAGAGGACGACCUUCCCCGCUAGAGGAGGACCGGUCUUCGGUCAAGGGUAUACGAGUAGCUGCGCUCCCCUGCUAGAACCUCCAAACAAGCUCUCAAGGAAAUAACUAUUGAACAGACAGCAGAACAUAUUUACCAAAAUACUGAGUGGCAUCCACUGUUCUCU
rnacentral:snRNA from 1 species